rnacentral:misc_RNA from 1 species
AACGCACAUUGCGCCCAUUAGUAUUCUAGUGGGCAUGCCUAUUCGAGCGUCAUUUCAACCCUUAAGCUUAGCUUAGUGUUAGGAGCUUACAGUGAUGUAACUCCCUAAAGUCAUUGGCAGAGCUAAAUCAACUCUCAGCGUAGUAAUUUCAUCUCGCUCUUGUAGUUGGUCUAGCGAUCGCCACAAACCUUUAUUUUCUAAUGGUUGACCUCGGAUUAGGUAGGAAUACCCGCUGAACUUAA